CCCUAUUAUGUUAUAAAGGAAUAUAAUUAGUAUAUUAUAUUGAAAAUUAAUAAUCUUGGCGGUUAAUUAUUAGUUAGAGGAGCUUGUUUUGUAAAAGUAAUAACACUUUAUAUUUAUAUAAUUGAAGUUUAUUCAUCUCCGUUAUUAGAUAGGAUAUUAAAAAAGGAGUUUCUUUAAUUUCAGGUCAAGAUGUAGCAUUGAUUAAAAAUAAAAAUUAGCUACAAUAUUAAUUGAUAUAGGCUUUUAUUAGGAAAAAUAUAAGGGGAUUAAAUUUAAUUGUAAUAUGAUAUUUAAAAAGAUAAUAUGAAUAUUUAUUAUUAAUGUA
rnacentral:rRNA from 1 species